UACGUAGGUCCCGAGCGUUGUCCGGAUUUAUUGGGCGUAAAGCGAGCGCAGGUGGUUUAUUAAGUCUGGUGUAAAAGGCAGUGGCUCAACCAUUGUAUGCAUUGGAAACUGGUAGACUUGAGUGCAGGAGAGGAGAGUGGAAUUCCAUGUGUAGCGGUGAAAUGCGUAGAUAUAUGGAGGAACACCGGUGGCGAAAGCGGCUUACUGGACUGUAACUGACGUUGAGGCUCGAAAGCGUGGGGAGCAAACAGG
rnacentral:rRNA from 1 species